GAAUCUUACAGCUCUUUCAGAAUUUGUCUAGCAGGUUCUCACUGGAAGAGACACCCCC
ensembl:snRNA U7 U7 small nuclear RNA